CUGAUCAGGUGUCCGCACUAAAUUCGGCAUCAAUAUGGUGACCUCCCAGGAGCGGGGGACCACCAGGUUGCCUAAGGAGGGGUGAACUGGCCCAGGUCGGAAACGGAGCAGGUCAAAACUCCCGUGCUGAUCAGUAGUGGGAUCGCGCCUGUG
ensembl:misc_RNA Metazoa_SRP Metazoan signal recognition particle RNA